GGGGAGGCGGUCGCACUGGGGGCGGCGCGACACGGCUCGGGCCCGACAGUGCCCCAACGGGGUCCUAGUCUUUGUUUCUUUCUUUCUUUUUUCUUUUUCCUCCCCUUUGAACUUGAAAAUGGCCCACUUCCCACUGGCGAAAACUCAUGAAAUUUGGCAGGACGACCGGGCCUGGUGAAAAAUUUGAUAUUCUGAAGUCGCCAAAACAAUAAAAUGCAAAAUGGCUCCAUAGCGCCCCCUAAGGUGAAAAUUCACACUAUUCACUGUCACGACUGUACGCUUUGUCAAAAUGACACAAAAAUUGACACACACAUGUAUCUCAAUAAGAUCUACAAAAAAGUCAGUGCGGCCGUAUCUGUCAAAAUUACGGUUAAAGGGUUAUUUCGCAUUUUUUGCCGAUCUGCACACAUUGGAAUUUCGCUAACUCCUCCGAAGGCUUUCGUUCCACCGGCACCACAUUUGCUCAGGCCAAUCUACACCCCGUGGCCAUUAAAAGUUAUCAAAAUCAUGACGCUGCACCCCAAGGUUUAGGUUCUAGGGGGCGCCAAAGAUAACACUAAAAUCUACAUAUUUAAAAGUCUUAUAACUUUUUAUUUUUGUCCUCACUGGCCUCCAAGUUUUCUAGGAUGAUGCAAUGUCCAGCCAUCAACACAUUUGUGAAGGAAUUUUUACUCCCCAAAAGAGCGCCCCCCCAUGGCAGGAGAAAAAAGUCCAUUUUUUCUUGUCCCCUAAGGUGAAAAUACACAUUGUUGAGUGUCACGCCUAUACGCUUUGUCAAAAUGACACAAAAAUUGACACACACAUGUAACUCAAUAAGAUCUACGAAAAAGUCAAUGCGCGCGUAUCUGUCAAAUGUACGGUUAAAGGGUUAUUCCGCAUUUUUUGCCGAUCCGCACACAUUGGAAUGUGGCUAACUCCUCCUAAGGCUUUCGUUCCACCGGCACCACAUUUGCUCAGGCCAAUCUACACCCCAUGGCCAUUAAAAGUUAUCAAAAUCAUGACGCUGCACCCCACGGUUUAGGUUCUAGGGGGCGCCAAAGAUAACCCUAAAAUCCACAUAUUUAAAAGUCUUAUAACUUUUUAUUUUUGUCCUCACUGGCCUCCAAGUUUUCUAGGAUGAUGCAAUGUCCAGCCAUCAACACAUUUGUGAAGGAAUUUUUACUCCCCAAAAGAGCGCCCCCCCAUGGCAGGAGAAAAAAGUCCAUUUUUUCUUGUCCCCUAAGGUGAAAAUACAUAUUGUUGAGAUUCACGCCUAUACGCUUUGUCAUAUUGACACAAAAUUUGACAAUCACGUGCCUUGCCUGGUAUCAUUUUUUUCAGCACAACCUCACCUGUGCGAAUUUACAGUUAUUUUAUCAUGUUGACAUACUGAAUUUACACAAUGGACCCAAAUUCACACACAAAACAUAAAAUCCGAGUGGAAAAAAGUAACAUUUUUACUGUGAAAACCACAAAUAUGUGUGAUGAACUGUUUUUAAAACUUAAACUUCAAAUAAAAAUUGUAAACUUCAAAACAUAUGCAAAUUUUUAACAAAGAACAUAGUGAUUUACCUCUAUUUACAUCAAAAUGCAGGCAAUGGCCCAGGCGUUCUUUGUAAAAUUAUUUACAAAACACUGUUUAGUCUCACAAAUGUCACUUUUUAUUUAUGCCACUACAAAAAAACAUGAUGUAAAUGAUGCAUGAUGUAAAACAUGAUGUAAAAAACUUGUGUAGAUCCUCCUGUAUGUCAGUCCAUGUGUAAUUUUUCCAUAAUUCUUUGUUUUUUGCAGCAUUUUUGUUAGUGUAACUGCAGAUUGUGCUGACAGUGUCUAUGGCACAAAAAAAAAAAAAAUUAAAAUGCCUCAACAUGAACCCCUGGUGGUCUCUGAGGGUGAAACCUGCUAACUGCUGCAGCUCUGUCAGCUUCAGUCUCCCAUGCAGAGCUCUGAGCGCAUGUGUGGCUCUGCACCCUUAGCAGCGUUGCUAACUCCUCAGUAAGGAAAGCCUGCUUCAUGUCAGAGUCUCUAAACUCCAGAAGAAGUCGAUAAAAGUCCCUUUCUUUCUAAAAAAAAGUCGUUAGGGGGUCUGAAAAGUCAUUGAAUCUAACAACAAAGUCGCUAGGUUUGCAACUACGUGUCCCAGACUGCAUCCCUGCUGAGAGUCCCUCCCUCCCUUCUCAUGUUGCAGGAAGAACGUAAGCGCCCUCCCCUUGUCAAUCAGUCACCAUAUAAUUUUGGAUUGGUUGUUGUGGUGAAGUUUUCCACCAAUAGGAGAGAUGUUGUGGUGUGUUUUUUUUUUCUUUUGGCAAGCCUUUUCCGCCUGUAAGACCUGUUGCUAAUGUCUGCAUGCUAUGUUUUCCUGUCUCAUACAGCGCGAUCGAGCGCCGAACGUGAUCAAAAUAAGCAGAAAAAAAGUAUCGCGGACAUAAUUUAUCAUAACUCUGGUUUUAUUUGGCCUAUCAACACAAUUUAAAAACUGGUAUAUAGGUUGAGGUCCUCACUUUUGAGAUAAGUUGAAACGGAGAGUCAACGAGGCUCCGUCUUGCAGCUACAUCCGGUUAAAUAUGUCAUGUGACUUGAACGCACACACAGACACACACACACGCACACACACACACACACACACACACACACACACACUCAGAGUCUGGUUUUUAGCACCUGCAAAAACAUGCUAUUUACAUAUUUGACAAGAAUGCAGAGGCUCCUUUUGCCCCUGAAAAAAAUCAAAUUUCAAACACAACUUGACUGGUCAUUUCUCCAAAAGACAACCAUGAAGCUCCAUCCAAACCUGAAGCAGGCAGUUGGUGCAUGUGUACAGUAACCUGAGGGGAGUGAGGUGAGUGCUUCUGAGGAGAACAUGAGCAGUGAAGAUUCACCUUGGAGCUAGAACAGAGACAUGCACAAGAUUAUACAGGGGCAGGGGCUCAAGUUUUUUCCAGUCGUUUAUACAAUAUGGAAAUUAAUGUGAAAUUAAAACACAAAGUAUUAAUAGAAAGGUAAUGACUGUCCUGUGUAGGUGACAGUGAUAUCGAAUAGGCUAGGCACUCACGAGGCUGGCUGUGGCAAGUGUAAGUGAAAGCAACACGCACUGGCAGGAAGAACAGCAAACGCCGAUGAAGGAAAAGGGUCUUUGCAGUGAUGGGCGUUACAAGAGAGGGCGAUGGCCAGAGGACACAAAUGGGACGGGGAGGCAGCACGUUGGGGGGGGGGGGGGGCGACACGGCUCGGGCCCGCCAGUGCCCCAACGGGGUCCUAGUUCUUUCUUUAGGGCCCGAGCGUAGCUGCUAAGCAGCUGCGAGAGCCCUCUUGUUCCUGAUGGAUUCUUCUUUUGUUAUUAUUAUUAUUAUUAUUUUUCCUCCGCUUUAAACUGGAAAAUGGCCCACUUCCCACUGGCGAAAACUCAGGAAAUUUGGCAGGACGACCGGGCCUGGUGAAAAAUUCGAUAUUCUGAAGUCGCCCAAACAAUAAAAUGCAAAAUGGCUCCAUAGCGCCCCCUAAGGUGAAAAUUCACACUAUUGACUGUCACGCCUGUACGCUUUGUCAUAUUGACACAAAAAUUGACACACACAUGUAUCUCAAUAAGAUCUACAAAAAAGUCAGUGCGGGCGUAUCUGUCAAAUGUACGGUUAAAGGGUUAUUUCGCAUUUUUUGCAGAUCCGCACACAUUGGAAUUUCGCUAACUCCUCCGAAGGCUUUCGUUCCACCGGCACCACAUUUGCUCAGGCCAAUCUACACUCCAUGGCCAUUCAAAGUUGUACAAAUCAUGAUGCUGCACCCCAUGGUUUAGGUUCUAGGGGGCGCCAAAAAUAACCCAAAAAUCCACAUUCUUAAAAGUUUUAUAACUUUUUUUUUUUGUCCUCACUGGCCUCCAAGUUUUCUAGGGUGAUGCAAUGUCCAGCCAUCAACACAUUUGUGAAGGAAUUUUUACUCCCCAAAAGAGCGCCCCCCCAUGGCAGGAGAAAAAAGUCAAUUUUUUCUUGUCCCCUAAGGUGAAAAUACACAUUGUUGAGAUUCACGCCUGUACGCUUUGUCAUAUUGACAAAAAAUUUGACACACACAUGUAUCUCAAUAAGAUCUACGAAAAAGUCAAUGCGCGCGUAUCUGUAAAAUGUACGGCUAAACGGCUAUUUUGCAUUUUUUGCCGAUUCGCACACUUUGGAAUGUGGCUAACUCCUCCUAAGGCUUUCAUCCCACUGACACCAAAUUUGCUCAGGCCAAUCUACACCCCAUGGCCAUUCAAAGUUGUAAAAAUCAUGCCGCUGCACCCCAUGGUUUACGUUCUAGGGGGCGCCAAAGAUGACCCAAAUAUCCACAUUCUUAAAAGUCGUUUUGGCAACUGCAGGAGUACAGAGUACUGCAGGAUACACACACAGACACACACACACACAGACACACACACACACACACACACACACACACACACACACACACACACACACACACACAUACACACACAUACAUACACACUCAGAGUCUGUUUUUUAGCACCUGCAAAAACAUGCUAUUUACAUAUUUGACAACAAUGCAGAGACUUCCUUUUGCCCCUGAAAAAAAUGAAAUUUCAAACACAACUUGACUGCUCAUUUCUCCAAAAGACAACCAUGAAGCUCCAUCCAAACCUGAAGCAGGCAGUUGGUGCAUGUGUACAGUAACCUGAGGGGAGUGAGGUGACUGCUUCUGAGGAGAACAUGAGCAGUGAAGAUUCACCUUGGAGCUAGAACAGGGACGUGCACAUGAUUAUACAGGGCCAGGGGCUCAAGUUUUUUCCAGUCGUUUAGACAAUAUGGAAAUUAAUGUGAAAUUAAAAAACAAAGUAUUAAUAGAAAGGUAAUGACUGUCCUGUGUAGGUGACAGUGAUAUCCAAUAGGCUAGGAUUUGGCAAGUGCAAGUGAAAGCAACACGCACUGGCAGGAAGAACAGCAAACGCAGAUGAAGGAAAAGGGUCUUUGCAGUGAUGGGCGUUACCAGAGAGGACGAUGGCCAGAGGACGCGAAUGGAAUGGGGAGGCAGCGCGUUGGGGGCGGGGGGGGGGGGGGGGGCGCGACACAGCUCGGGCCCGACAGUGCCCCAACGGGGCCCUAGUUAGGGCCCGAGCGUAGCUGCUAAGCAGCUGCGAGAGCCCUCUUGUUCCUGCAUGUUUCCUUCUUUUGUUAUUAUUAGGGCCCGAGCGUAGCUGCUAAGCAGCUGCGAGAGCCCUCUUGUUCCUGUAGUUUCCUUCUUUUGUUAUUAUUAUUAUUAUUAUUUUUCCUCCCCUUUGAACUGGAAAAUGGCCCACUUCCCACUGGCGAAAACUCAUGAAAUUUGGCAGGACGACCGGGCCUGGUGAAAAAUUUGAUAUUCCGAAGUUGCCCAAACCAGAAAAUGCAAAAUGGCUCCAUAGCGCCCCCUAAGGUGAAAAUUCACACUAUUCACUGUCACGCCUGUACGCUUUGUCAAAAUGACACAAAAAUUGACACACACAUGUAUCUCAAUAAGAUCUACAAAAAAGUCAGUGCGGGCGUAUCUGUCAAAUGUACGGUUAAAGGGUUAUUCCGCAUUUUUUGCCGAUCCGCACACAUUGGAAUUUCGCUAACUCCUCCGAAGGCUUUCGUUCCACCGGCACCACAUUUGCUCAGGCCAAUCUACACCCCAUGGCCAUUAAAAGUUAUUCAAAUCAUGACGCUGCACCCCACGGUUUAGGUUCUAGGGGGCGCCAAAGAUAACCCUAAGAUCCACAUAUUUAAAAGUCUUAUAACUUUUUAUUUUUGCCCUCACUGGCCUCCAAGUUCUCUAGGAUGAUGCAAUGUCCAGCCAUCAACACAUUUGUGAAGGAAUUUUUACUCCCCAAAAGAGCGCCCCCCCAUGGCAGGAGAAAAAAAUCCAUUUUUUCUUGUCCCCUAAGGUGAAAAUACACAUUGUUGAGUGUAACACCUGUACGCUUUGGCAAAAUGACACAAAAAUUGACACACACAUGUAUCUCAAUAAGAUCUACGAAAAAGUCAAUGCGCGCGUAUCUGUCAAAUGUACGGUUAAAGGGUUAUUCCGCAUUUUUUGCCGAUCCGCACACAUUGGAAUUUCGCUAACUCCUCCGAAGGCUUUCGUUCCACCGGCACCACAUUUGCUCAGGCCAAUCUACACCCCAUGGCCAUUAAAAGUUAUUCAAAUCAUGACGCUGCACCCCACGGUUUAGGUUCUAGGGGGCGCCAAAGAUAACCGUAAAAUCCACAUAUUUAAAAGUCUUAUAACUUUUUAUUUUUGUCCCCACUGGCCUCCAAGUUUUCUAGGAUGAUGCAAUGUCCAGCCAUCAACACAUUUGUGAAGGAAUUUUUACUCGGCAAAAGAGCGCCCCCCCAUGGCAGGAGAAAAAAGUCAAUUUUUUCUUGUCCACUAAGGUGAAAAUACACAUUGUUGAGUGCUACGCCUGUAUGUUUUGUCGUAUUGACACAAAAUUUUACAUACACGUGUAUUUCAAUAAGAUCUUCGAAAAAGUCAAUGGCCACGUAUCUGUAAAAUGUAUGGUUAAAGGGUUAUUUCGCAUUUUUUGCAGAUUCGCACACAUUGGAAUUUCGCUAAUUCCUCCGAAGGCUUUCGUUCCACCGGCACCACAUUUGCUCAGGCCAAUCUACACCCCAUGGCCAUUAAAAGUUAUUCAAAUCAUGACGCUGCACCCCACGGUUUAGGUUCUAGGGGGCGCCAAAUAUAACCCUAAAAUCCACAUAUUUAAAAGUCUUAUAACUUUUUAUUUUUGUCCUCACUGGCCUCCAUGUUUUCUAGGAUGAUGCAAUGUCCAGCCAUCAACACAUUUGUGAAGGAAUUUUUACUCCCCAAAAGAGCGCCCCCCCAUGGCAGGAGAAAAAAGUCCAUUUUUUCUUGUCCCCUAAGGUGAAAAUACACAUUGUUGAGUGUAACACCUGUACGCUUUGGCAAAAUGACACAAAAAUUGACACACACAUGUAUCUCAAUAAAAUCUACGAAAAAGUCAAUGCGCGCGUAUCUGUCAAAUGUACGGUUAAAGGGUUAUUCCGCAUUUUUUGCCGAUCCGCACACAUUGGAAUUUCGCUAACUCCUCCGAAGGCUUUCGUUCCACCGGCACCACAUUUGCUCAGGCCAAUCUACACCCCAUGGCCAUUAAAAGUUAUUCAAAUCAUGACGCUGCACCCCACGGUUUAGGUUCUAGGGGGCGCCAAAGAUAACCCUAAGAUCCACAUAUUUAAAAGUCUUAUAACUUUUUAUUUUUGCCCUCACUGGCCUCCAAGUUUUCUAGGAUGAUGCAAUGUCCAGCCAUCAACACAUUUGUGAAGGAAUUUUUACUCCCCAAAAGAGCGCCCCCCCAUGGCAGGAGAAAAAAGUCCAUUUUUUCUUGUCCCCUAAGGUGAAAAUACACAUUGUUGAGUGUAACACCUGUACGCUUUGGCAAAAUGACACAAAAAUUGACACACACAUGUAUCUCAAUAAAAUCUACGAAAAAGUCAAUGCGCGCGUAUCUGUCAAAUGUACGGUUAAAGGGUUAUUCCGCAUUUUUUGCCGAUCCGCACACAUUGGAAUUUCGCUAACUCCUCCGAAGGCUUUCGUUCCACCGGCACCACAUUUGCUCAGGCCAAUCUACACCCCAUGGCCAUUAAAAGUUAUUCAAAUCAUGACGCUGCACCCCACGGUUUAGGUUCUAGGGGGCGCCAAAGAUAACCCAAAAAUCCACAUAUUUAAAAGUCUUAUAACUUUUUAUUUUUGUCCUCACUGGCCUCCAAGUUUUCUAGGAUGAUGCAAUGUCCAGCCAUCAACACAUUUGUGAAGGAAUUUUUACUCCCCAGAAGAGCGCCCCCCCAUGGCAGGAGAAAAAAGUCAAUUUUUUCUUGUCCCCUAAGGUGGAAAUUCACACUAUUGACUGUCACGCCUGUACGCUUUAUCAUAUUGACACAAAAAUUGACACACAUAUGUAUCUCAAUAAGAUCUACAAAAAAGUCAAUGCGCGCGUAUCUGUCAAAUGUACGGUUAAAGGGCUAUUUUGCAUUUUUUGCCGAUUCGCACACAUUGGAAUGUGGCUAACUCCUCCUAAGGCUUUCGUCCCACUGACACCAAAUUUGCUCAGGCCAAUCUACACCCCAUGGCCAUUCAAAGUUGUAAAAAUCAUGACGCUGCACCCCACGGUUUAGGUUCUAGGGGGCGCCAAAUAUAACCCUAAAAUCCACAUAUUUAAAAGUCUUAUAACUUUUUAUUUUUGUCCUCACUGGCCUCCAUGUUUUCUAGGAUGAUGCAAUGUCCAGCCAUCAACACAUUUGUGAAGGAGUUUUUUCUCUUUAAAAGAGCGCCCCCCCAUGGCAGGAGAAUAAAGUCAAGUUUUUCCUGUUCAUCAUUCAAUGGCUCAAACGCACUGCUCUCUCGGCAAAAGCGAAAGGAGGAGCAACUUGCCAUUUGGAUAUAUCUUAGCUGUGUUUGUGCCCUCACUCAUGGUCCAGACUUUUUUCAAAUAGGACAUGGAGUUUUUCUGCAGCGAGCGUUUUGGUAGAAACUGCGCCUCCCGUUCAUUAUAAUGGUAAAUGACCACAAACAAGUGCGCACACCAUCUUUGGACCUUGAGUGUGACGCGAUCGGGUGGGGGAGGCGGUCGCGCUGGGGGCGGCGUGACACGGCUCGGGCCCGCCAGUGCCCCAACGGGGCCCUAGUUAUUAGGGCCCGAGCGUAGCUGCUAAGCAGCUGCGAGAGCCCUAUUAUUCCCCAAGGGGUUUUUCUUUGUUUCUUUUUUCUUUUUCCUCCCCUUUGAACUGGAAAAUGGCCCACUUCCCACUGGCGAAAACUCAUGAAAUUUGGCAGGACGACCGGGCCUGGUGAAAAAUUUGAUAUUCCGAAGUCGCCCAAACAAGAAAAUGCAAAAUGGCUCCAUAGCGCCCCCUAAGGUGAAAAUUCACACUAUUGAGUGUCACGCCUGUACGCUUUGUCAAAAUGACACAAAAUUUGACACACACAUGUAUCUCAAUAAGAUCUACAAAAAAGUCAGUGCGGGCGUAUCUGUCAAAUGUACGGUUAAAGGGUUAUUUCGCAUUUUUUGCUGAUCCGCACACAUUGGAAUUUCGCUAACUCCUCCGAAGGCUUUCGUUCCACCGGCACCACAUUUGCUCAGGCCAAUCUACACCCCAUGGCCAUUAAAAGUUAUUCAAAUCAUGACGCUGCACCCCACGGUUUAGGUUCUAGGGGGCGCCAAAGAUAACCCUAAAAUCCACAUAUUUAAAAGUCUUAUAACUUUUUAUUUUUGCCCUCACUGGCCUCCAAGUUUUCUAGGAUGAUGCAAUGUCCAGCCAUCAACACAUUUGUGAAGGAAUUUUUACUCCCCAAAAGAGCGCCCCCCCAUGGCAGGAGAAAAAAGUCCAUUUUUUCUUGUCCCCUAAGGUGAAAAUACACAUUGUUGAGUGUCACGCCUGUACGCUUUGUCAAAAUGACACAAAAAUUGACACACACAUGUAUCUCAAUAAGAUCUACAAAAAAGUCCAUGCGCGCGUAUCUGUCAAAUGUACGGUUAAAGGGUUAUUCCGCAUUUUUUGCCGAUUCGCACACAUUGGAAUUUCGCUAACUCCUCCGAAGGCUUUCGUUCCACCGGCACCACAUUUGCUCAGGCCAAUCUACACCCCAUGGCCAUUAAAAGUUAUUCAAAUCAUGACGCUGCACCCCACGGUUUACGUUCUAGGGGGCGCCAAAGAUAACCCAAAAAUCCACAUUCUUAAAAGUCUUAUAACUUUUUACUUUUGUCCUCACUGGCCUCCAAGUUUUCUAGGAUGAUGCAAUGUCCAGCCAUCAACACAUUUGUGAAGGAAUUUUUACUCCCUAAAAGAGCGCCCCCCAUGGCAGGAGAAAAAAAUCAAUUUUUUCUUGUCCCCUAAGGUGAAAAUACACAUUGUUGACUGUCACGCCUGUACGCUUUGGCAAAAUGACACAAAAAUUGACAAUCAUGUGUAUCUCAAUUAGAUCUACGAAAAAGUCAAAGAGCGCGUAUCUGUAUAAUGUACGGUAAAAGGGCUAUUUUGCAUUUUUUGCCGAUUCGCACACAUUGGAAUUUCGCUAACUCCUCCUAAGGCUUUCGUCCCACUGACACCAAAUAUGCUCAGGCCAAUCUACACUCCAUGGCCAUUCAAAGUUGUAAAAAUCAUGACGCUGCACCCCACGGUUUACGUUUUGGGGGGCGCCAAAGAUGACCCAAAUAUACAUUACAGUAGACAAAGUAGUUUUGCCCACUGAGUGGCGCCAAAGGGACUUGUCUGUGGAGUCUGUGAGUCACUAUUGGCCGUUUUUGACUACUUUAGAUUUUACCUUUAUAUUUCCUCUUACAAAAUUUUUACCUUGCCUUGCCUGGUAUCAUUUUUUUCAGCACAACCUCACCUGUGUCAAUUUACAGUUAUUUUAUCAUUUUGACAUACUAUAUUUACACAUUGGACCCAAAUUCACACACAAAACAUAAAAUCCGAGUGGAAAAAAGUAACGUUUUUACUGUGAAAACCACAAAUAUGUGUGAUGAACUGUUUUUAAAACUUAAACUUCAAAUAAAAAUUGUAAACUUCAAAACAUAUGCAAAUUUUUAACAAAGAACAUAGUAAUUUACCUCUAUUUACAUCAAAAUGCAGGCAAUGGCCCAGGUGUUCUUUGUAAAAUUAUUUACAAAACACUGUAUAGUCUCACAAAUGUCACUUUUUAUUUAUGCCACUACAAAAAAACAUGAUGUAAAUGAUGCAUGAUGUAAAACAUGAUGUAAAAAACUUGUGUAUAUCCUCCUCUAUGUUAGUCCAUGUGUAAUUUUUCCAUAAUUCUUUGUUUUUUGCAGCAUUUUUGUUAGUGUAACUGCAGAUUGUGCUGACAGUGUCUAUGGCAAAAAAAAAAAAAAACUGAAAAUGCCUCAACAUGAACCCCUGGUGGUCUCUGAGGGUGAAACCUGCUAACUGCUGCAGAUCUGUCAGCUUCAUGCAGAGCUCGGAGCACAUGUGUGGCUCUGCACCCUUAGCAGCGUUGCUAACUCCUCAGUAAGGAAAGCCUGCUUCAUGUCAGAGUCUCUAAACUCCAGAAGAAGUCGAUAAAAGUCACUUUCUUUCUAAAAAAAAAGUCGUUAGGGGGUCUGAAAAGUCAUUGAAUCUAACAACAAAGUCGCUAGGUUUGCAACUACGUGUCCCAGACUGCAUCCCUGCUGAGAGUCCCUCCCUCCCUUCUCAUAUUGCAGGAAGAACGUAAGCACCCGCCCCUUGUCAAUCAGUCACCAUAUAAUUUUGGAUUGGUUGUUGUGGUGAAGUUUUCCACCAAUAGGAGAGAUGUUGUGGUGUGUUUUCUUUUUCCUUUGGCAAGCCUUUUCCGCCUGUAAGACCUGUCGCUAAUGUCUGCAUGCUAUGUUUUCCUGUCUCAUACAGCGCGAUCGAGCGCCGAACGUGAUCAAAAUAAGCAGAAAACAAGUAUCGGGGACAUAAUUUAUCAUAACUCUGGUUUUAUUUGGCCUAUCAACACAAUUUAAAAACUGGUAUAUAGGUUGAGGUCCUCACUUUUGAGAUAAGUUGAAACGGAGUCAACGAGGCUCCGUCUUGCAGCUACAUCCGGUUAAAUAUGUCAUGUGACUUGAACGCACACACACACACACACACACACACACACACACACACACACACACACACACACACACACACAGACACACACACACACGCACACACACACACUCAGAGUCUGGUUUUUAGCACCUGCAAAAACAUGCUAUUUACAUAUUUGACAAGAAUGCAGAGGCUCCUUUUGCCCCUGAAAAAAAUCAAAUUUCAAACACAACUUGACUGGUCAUUUCUCCAAAAGACAACCAUGAAGCUCCAUCCAAACCUGAAGCAGGCAGUUGGUGCAUGUGUACAGUAACCUGAGGGGAGUGAGGUGACUGCUUCUGAGGAGAACAUGAGCAGUGAAGAUUCACCUUAGAGCUAGAACAGAGACGUGCACAUGAUUAUACAGGGGCAGGGGCUCAAGUUUUUUCCACUUGUUUAUACAAUAUGGAAAUUAAUGUGAAAUUAAAAAACAAAGUAUUAAUAGAAAGGUAAUGACUGUCCUGAGUAGGUGACAGUGAUAUCCAAUAGGCUAGGCACUCAAGAGGCUGGCUGUGGCAAGUGUAAGUGAAAGCAACACGCACUGGCAGGAAGAACAGCAAACGCCGAUGAAGGAAAAGGGUCUUUGCAGUGAUGGGUGUUACCAGAGAGGGCGAUGGCCAGAGGACACGAAUGGGACGGGGAGGCAGCGCGUUGGGGGGGGGACGCGACACAGCUCGGGCCCGCCAGUGCCCCAACGGGGUCCUAGUUAUUUUUCCUCCCCUUUGAACUGGAAAAUGGCCCACUUCCCACUGGCGAAAACUCAUGAAAUUUGGCAGGACGACCGGGCCUGGUGAAAAAUUUGAUAUUCCGAAGUCGGCCAAACAAGAAAAUGCAAAAUGGCUCCAUAGCGCCCCCUAAGGUGAAAAUUCACACUAUUGACUGUCACGCCUGUACGCUUUGUCAAAAUGACACAAAAAUUGACACACACAUGUAUCUCAAUAAGAUCUACAAAAAAGUCAGUGCGGGCGUAUCUGUCAAAUGUACGGUUAAAGGGUUAUUUCGCAUUUUUUGCCGAUCCGCACACAUUGGAAUUUCGCUAACUCCUCCGAAGGCUUUCGUUCCACCGGCACCACAUUUGCUCAGGCCAAUCUACACCCCAUGGCCAUUAAAAGUUAUUCAAAUCAUGACGCUGCACCCCACGGUUUAGGUUCUAGGGGGCGCCAAAGAUAACCCUAAGAUCCACAUAUUUAAAAGUCUUAUAACUUUUUAUUUUUGCCCUCACUGGCCUCCAAGUUUUCUAGGAUGAUGCAAUGUCCAGCCAUCAACACAUUUGUGAAGGAAUUUUUACUCCCCAAAAGAGCGCCCCCCCAUGGCAGGAGAAAAAAGUCCAUUUUUUCUUGUCCCCUAAGGUAAAAAUACACAUUGUUGAGUGUAACACCUGUACGCUUUGGCAAAAUGACACAAAAAUUGACACACACAUGUAUCUCAAUAAGAUCUACGAAAAAGUCAAUGCGCGCAUAUCUGUUAAAUGUACGGUUAAAGGGUUAUUCCGCAUUUUUUGCCGAUCCGCACACAUUGGAAUUUCGCUAACUCCUCCGAAGGCUUUCGUUCCACCGGCACCACAUUUGCUCAGGCCAAUCUACACCCCAUGGCCAUUAAAAGUUAUUCAAAUCAUGACGCUGCACCCCACGGUUUAGGUUCUAGGGGGCGCCAAAGAUAACCGUAAAAUCCACAUAUUUAAAAGUCUUAUAACUUUUUAUUUUUGUCCCCACUGGCCUCCAAGUUUUCUAGGAUGAUGCAAUGUCCAGCCAUCAACACAUUUGUGAAGGAAUUUUUACUCGCCAAAAGAGCGCCCCCCCAUGGCAGGAGAAAAAAGUCCAUUUUUUCUUGUCCACUAAGGUGAAAAUACACAUUGUUGAGUGCUACGCCUGUAUGUUUUGUCGUAUUGACACAAAAUUUUACAUACACGUGUAUUUCAAUAAGAUCUUCCAAAAAGUCAAUGGCCACGUAUCUGUAAAAUGUACGGUUAAAGGGUUAUUUUGCAUUUUUUGCAGAUUCGCACACAUUGGAAUUUCGCUAACUCCUCCGAAGGCUUUCGUUCCACCGGCACCACAUUUGCUCAGGCCAAUCUACACCCCAUGGCCAUUAAAAGUUAUUCAAAUCAUGACGCUGCACCCCACGGUUUAGGUUCUAGGGGGCGCCAAAGAUAACCCUAAAAUCCACAUAUUUCAAAGUCUUAUAACUUUUUAUUUUUGUCCUCACUGGCCUCCAUGUUUUCUAGGAUGAUGCAAUGUCCAGCCAUCAACACAUUUGUGAAGGAGUUUUUUCUCGUUAAAAGAGCGCCCCCCCCUGGCAGGAGAAUAAAGUCAAGUUUUUCCUGUUCAUCAUUCAAUGGCUCAAACGCACUGCUCUCUCGGCAAAAGCGAAAGGAGGAGCAACUUGCCAUUUGGAUAUAUCUUAGCUGUGUUUGUGCCCUCACUCAUGGUCCAGACUUUUUUCAAAUAGGACAUGGAGUUUUUCUGCAGCGAGCGCUUUGGUAGAAACUGCGCCUCCCGUUCAUUAUAAUGGUAAAUGACCACAAACAAGUGCGCACACCAUCUUUGGACCUUGAGUGUGACGCGAUCGGGUGGGGGAGGCGGUCGCGCUGGGGGCGGCGUGACACGGCUCGGGCCCGCCAGUGCCCCAACGGGGCCCUAGUUAGGGCCCGAGCGUAGCUGCUAAGCAGCUGCGAGAGCCCUCUUGUUCCUGCAUGUUUCCUUCUUUUGUUAUUAGGGCCCGAGCGUAGCUGCUAAGCAGCUGCGAGAGCCCUAUUAUUCCCCAAGUGGUUUUUCUUUGUUUCUUUUUUCUUUUUCCUCCCCUUUGAACUGGAAAAUGGCCCACUUCCCACUGGCGAAAACUCAUGAAAUUUGGCAGGACGACCGGGCCUGGUGAAAAAUUUGAUAUUCUGAAGUCGCCCAAACAAUACAAUGCAAAAUGGCUCCAUAGCGCCCCCUAAGGUGAAAAAUUCACCUGACGCCUGUACGCUUUGUCAAAAUGACACAAAAAUUGACACACACAUGUAUCUCAAUAAGAUCUACAAAAAAGUCAGUGCGGGCGUAUCUGUCAAAUGUACGGUUAAAGGGUUAUUGCGCAUUUUUUGCCGAUCCGCACACAUUGGAAUUUCGCUAACUCCUCCGAAGGCUUUCGUUCCACCGGCACCACAUUUGCUCAGGCCAAUCUACACCCCAUGGCCAUUAAAAGUUAUUCAAAUCAUGACGCUGCACCCCACGGUUUAGGUUCUAGGGGGCGCCAAAGAUAACCCUAAAAUCCACAUAUUUCAAAGUCUUAUAACUUUUUAUUUUUGCCCUCACUGGCCUCCAAGUUUUCUAGGAUGAUGCAAUGUCCAGCCAUCAACACAUUUGUGAAGGAAUUUUUACUCCCCAAAAGAGCGCCCCCCCAUGGCAGGAGAAAAAAGUCCAUUUUUUCUUGUCCCAUAAGGUGAAAAUUCACACUAUUGACUGUCACGCCUGUACGCUUUGUCAAAAUUACACAAAAAUUGACACACACAUGUAUCUCAAUAAGAUCUACAAAAAAGUCAGUGCUGGCAUAUCUGUCAAAUGUACGGUUAAAGGGUUAUUGCGCAUUUUUUGCCGAUCCGCACACAUUGGAAUUUCGCUAACUCCUCCGAAGGCUUUCGUUCCACCGGCACCACAUUUGCUCAGGCCAAUCUACACCCCAUGGCCAUUAAAAGUUAUUCAAAUCAUGACGCUGCACCCCACGGUUUAGGUUCUAGGGGGCGCCAAAGAUAACCCUAAAAUCCACAUAUUUAAAAGUCUUUUAACUUUUUAUUUUUGUCCUCUCUGGCCUCCAAGUUUUCUAGGAUGAUGCAAUGUCCAGCCAUCAACACAUUUGUGAAGGAAUUUUUACUCCCCAAAAGAGCGCCCCCCCAUGGCAGGAGAAAAAAGUCCAUUUUUUCUUGUCCCAUAAGGUGAAAAUACACAUUGUUGACUGUCAUACCUGUAUGCUUUGUCAUAUUGACACAAAAUUUGACACACACAUGUAUCUCAAUAAGAUCUACGAAAAAGUCAAUGCGCGCGUAUCUGUAAAAUGUACGGUUAAAGGGCUAUUUUGCAUUUUUUGCCGAUUAGCACACAUUGGAAUGUGGCUAACUCCUCCUAAGGCUUUCGUCCCACUGACACCAAAUUUGCUCAGGCCAAUCUACACCCCAUGGCCAUUCAAAGUUUUAAAAAUCAUGACGCUGCACCCCACGGUUUACGUUCUAGGGGGCGCCAAAGAUGACCCAAAUAUCCACAUUCUUAAAAGUCUUUUAACUUUUUAUUUUUGUCCUCACUGGCCUCCAAGUUUUCUAGGAUGAUGCAAUGUCCAGCCAUCAACACAUUUGUGAAGGAAUUUUUACUCCCCAAAAGAGCGCCCCCCCAUGGCAGGAGAAAAAAGUCCAUUUUUUCUUGUCCCCUAAGGUGAAAAUACACAUUGUUGACUGUCACGCCUGUACGCUUUGGCAAAAUGACACAAAAAUUGACAAUCAUGUGUAUCUCAAUUAGAUCUACGAAAAAGUCAAAGAGCGCGUAUCUGUAUAAUGUACGGUAAAAGGGCUAUUUUGCAUUUUUUGCCAAUUCGCACACAUUGGAAUUUCGCUAACUCCUCCUAAGGCCUUCGUCCCACUGACACCAAAUUUGCUCAGGCCAAUCUACACUCCAUGGCCAUUCAAAGUUGUAAAAAUCAUGACGCUGCACCCCACGGUUUACGUUUUAGGGGGCGCCAAAGAUGACCCAAAUAUACAUUACAGUACACAAAGUAGUUUUGCCCACUGAGUGGCGCCAAAGGGACUUGUCUGUGGAGUCUGUGAGUCACUAUUGGCCGUUUUUGACUACUUUAGAUUUUACCUUUAUAUUUCCUCUUACAAAAUUUUUACCUUGCCUUGCCUGGUAUCAUUUUUUUCAGCACAACCUCACCUGUGUCAAUUUACAGUUAUUUUAUCAUUUUGACAUACUAUAUUUACACAUUGGACCCAAAUUCACACACAAAACAUAAAAUCCGAGUGGAAAAAAGUAACGUUUUUACUGUGAAAACCACAAAUAUGUGUGAUGAACUGUUUUUAAAACUUAAACUUCAAAUAAAAAUUGUAAACUUCAAAACAUAUGCAAAUUUUUAACAAAGAACAUAGUAAUUUACCUCUAUUGACAUCAAAAUGCAGGCAAUGGCCCAGGUGUUCUUUGUAAAAUUAUUUACAAAACACUGUAUAGUCUCACAAAUGUCACUUUUUAUUUAUGCCACUACAAAAAAACAUGAUGUAAAUGAUGCAUGAUGUAAAACAUGAUGUAAAAAACUUGUGUAGAUCCUCCUCUAUGUUAGUCCAUGUGUAAUUUUUCCAUAAUUCUUUGUUUUUUGCAGCAUUUUUGUUAGUGUAACUGCAGAUUGUGCUGACAGUGUCUAUGGCAAAAAAAAAAAAAAAAAAAACUGAAAAUGCCUCAACAUGAACCCCUGGUGGUCUCUGAGGGUGAAACCUGCUAACUGCUGCAGCUCUGUCAGCUUCAGUCUCCCAUGCAGAGCUCGGAGCGCAUGUGUGGCUCUGCACCCUUAGCAGUGUUGCUAACUCCUCAGUAAGGAAAGCCUGCUUCAUGUCAGAGUCUCUAAACUCCAGAAGAAGUCGAUAAAAGUCACUUUCUUUCUAAAAAAAAGUCGUUAGGGGGUCUGAAAAGUCAUUGAAUCUAACAACAAAGUCGCUAGGUUUGCAACUACGUGUCCCAGACUGCAUCCCUGCUGAGAGUCCCUCCCUCCCUUCUCAUAUUGCAGGAAGAACGUAAGUUCCCGCCCCUUGUCAAUCAGUCACCAUAUAAUUUUGGAUUGGUUGUUGUGGUGAAGUUUUCCACCAAUAGGAGAGAUGUUGUGGUGUGUAUUUUUUUUCCUUUGGCAAGCCUUUUCCGCCUGUAAGACCUGUCGCUAAUGUCUGCAUGCUAUGUUUUCCUGUCUCAUACAGCGCGAUCGAGCGCCGAACGUGAUCAAAAUAAGCAGAAAACAAGUAUCGCGGACAUAAUUUAUCAUAACUCUGGUUUUAUUUGGCCUAUCAACACAAUUUAAAAACUGGUAUAUAGGUUGAGGUCCUCACUUUUGAGAUAAAUUGAAACGGAGAGUCAACGAGGCUCUGUCUUGCAGCUACAUCCGGUUAAAUAUGUCAUAUGACUUGAACGCACACACACACACACACACACACACACAAAGACACACACACACACGCACACACACACACUCAGAGUCUGGUUUUUAGCACCUGCAAAAACAUGCUAUUUACAUAUUUGACAAGAAUGCAGAGGCUCCUUUUGCCCCUGAAAAAAAUCAAAUUUCAAACACAACUUGACUGGUCAUUUCUCCAAAAGACAACCAUGAAGCUCCAUCCAAACCUGAAGCAGGCAGUUGGUGCAUGUGUACAGUAACCUGAGGGGAGGUGACUGCUUCUGAGGAGAACAUGAGCAGUGAAGAUUCACCUUAGAGCUAGAACAGAGACGUGCACAUGAUUAUACAGGGGCAGGGGCUCAAGUUUUUUCCAGUUGUUUAUACAAUAUGGAAAUUAAUGUGAAAUUAAAAAACAAAGUAUUAAUAGAAAGGUAAUGACUGUCCUGUGUAGGUGACAGUGAUAUCCAAUAGGCUAGGCACUCACGAGGCUGGCUGUGGCAAGUGUAAGUGAAAGCAACACGCACUGGCAGGAAGAACAGCAAACGCCGAUGAAGGAAAAGGGUCUUUGCAGUGAUGGGCGUUACCAGAGAGGGCGACGGCCAGAGGACGCGAAUGGGACGGGGAGGCAGCGCGUUGGGGGGGGGACGCGACACAGCUCGGGCCCGCCAGUGCCCCAACGGGGUCCUAGUUAUUAUUUUUCCUCCCCUUUGAACUGGAAAAUGGCCCACUUCCCACUGGCGAAAACUCAUGAAAUUUGGCAGGACGACCGGGCCUGGUGAAAAAUUUGAUAUUCUGAAGUCGCCCAAACAAGAAAAUGCAAAAUGGCUCCAUAGCGCCCCCUAAGGUGAAAAAUUCACCUGACGCCUGUACGCUUUGUCAAAAUGACACAAAAAUUGACACACACAUGUAUCUCAAUAAGAUCUACAAAAAAGUCAGUGCGGUCGUAUCUGUCAAAUGUACGGUUAAAGGGUUAUUGCGCAUUUUUUGCCGAUCCGCACACAUUGGAAUUUCGCUAACUCCUCCGAAGGCUUUCGUUCCACCGGCACCACAUUUGCUCAGGCCAAUCUACACCCCAUGGCCAUUAAAAGUUAUUCAAAUCAUGACGCUGCACCCCACGGUUUAGGUUCUAGGGGACGCCAAAGAUAACCCUAAAAUCCACAUAUUUAAAAGUCUUAUAACUUUUUAUUUUUGUCCUCACUGGCCUCCAAGUUUUCUAGGAUGAUGCAAUGUCCAGCCAUCAACACAUUUGUGAAGGAAUUUUUAAUCCCCAAAAGAGCGCCCCCCCAUGGCAGGAGAAAAAAGUCCAUUUUUUCUUGUCCCCUAAGGUGAAAAUACACAUUGUUGAGUGUCACGCCUGUACGCUUUGUCAUAUUGACACAAAAUUUGACACACACAUGAAUCUCAAUAAGAUCUACGAAAAAGUCAAUGCGCGCGUAUCUGUCAAAUGUACGGUUAAAGGGUUAUUCCGCAUUUUUUGCUGAUCCGCACACAUUGGAAUUUCGCUAACUCCUCCUAAGGCUGGCGUUCCACCGGCACCACAUUUGCUCAGGCCAAUCUACACCCCAUGGCCAUUAAAAGUUAUUCAAAUCAUGACGCUGCACCCCACGGUUUAGGUUCUAGGGGGCGCCAAAGAUAACCCUAAAAUCCACAUAUUUCAAAGUCUUAUAACUUUUUAUUUUUGUCCUCACUGGCCUCCAAGUUUUCUAGGAUGAUGCAAUGUCCAGCCAUCAACACAUUUGUGAAGGAAUUUUUACUCCCCAAAAGAGCGCCCCCCCAUGGCAGGAGAAAAAAGUCCAUUUUUUCUUGUCCCAUAAGGUGAAAAAACACAUUGUUGACUGUCAUACCUGUACGCUUUGUCAUAUUGACACAAAAUUUGACAAUCACAUGUAUCUCAAUAAGAUCUACGAAAAAGUCAAUGCGCGCGUAUCUGUAAAAUGUACGGUUUAAGGGCUAUUUUGCAUUUUUUGCCGAUUCGCACACAUUGGAAUGUGGCUAACUCCUCCUAAGGCUUUCGUCCCACUGACACCAAAUUUGCUCAGGCCAAUCUACACCCCAUGGCCAUUCCAAGUUUUAAAAAUCAUGACGCUGCACCCCACGGUUUACGUUCUAGGGGGCGCCAAAGAUGACCCAAAUAUCCACAUUCUUAAAAGAAUCCACAUCCCCCCCCCCCCCAUCCCCCAACCCCCAACCCCCAUGGCAGGAGAAACAGUCAAGUUUUUCCUGCCCAUCACUCAAUGGCUCAAUCGCAUCACUCUCCCGGCAACACCGUAACGAGGAGCAACUUGCCGUUUGGAUAUAUCCUAGCUGUGUUAUGUGCCCUCACUCAUGGUCCAGACUUUUUUCAAAUAGGACAUGUAGUUUGUCUGCAGCGAGUGUUUUGGUAGAAACUGCGCCUCCCAUUCAUUAUAAUGGGAAAUGACCACAGACAAGUGCGCACACCAUCUUUGGACCUUGAGUGUGACGCGAUCGGGAGGGGGAGGCGGUCGCGCUAGGGGCGGCGCAACGCGGCUCGGGCCCGACAGUGCCCCACCGGGGCCCUAGUUCUUUCUUUCUUUCUUCUUUUUCCUCCCCUUUGAACUGGAAAAUGGCCCACUUCCCACUGGCGAAAACUCAUGAAAUUUGGCAGGACGACCGGGCCUGGUGAAAAAUUCGAUAUUCUGAAGUCGCCCAAACAAUAAAAUGCAAAAUGGCUCCAUAGCGCCCCCUAAGGUGGAAAUUCACACUAUUGACUGUCACGCCUGUACGCUUUGUCAUAUUGACACAAAAAUUGACACACAUAUGUAUCUCAAUAAGAUCUACAAAAAAGUCAGUGCGGCCGUAUCUGUCAAAAUUACGGUUAAAGGGUUAUUUCGCAUUUUUUGCCGAUCCGCACACAUUGGAAUUUCGCUAACUCCUCCGAAGGCUUUCGUUCCACCGGCACCACAUUUGCUCAGGCCAAUCUACACCCCGUGGCCAUUAAAAGUUAUCAAAAUCAUGACGCUGCACCCCAAGGUUUAGGUUCUAGGGGGCGCCAAAGAUAACACUAAAAUCCACAUAUUUAAAAGUCUUAUAACUUUUUAUUUUUGUCCUCACUGGCCUCCAAGUUUUCUAGGAUGAUGCAAUGUCCAGCCAUCAACACAUUUGUGAAGGAAUUUUUACUCCCCAAAAGAGCGCCCCCCAUGGCAGGAGAAAAAAGUCCAUUUUUUCUUGUCCCCUAAGGUGAAAAUACACAUUGUUGAGUGUCACGCCUAUACGCUUUGUCAAAAUGACACAAAAAUUGACACACACAUGUAACUCAAUAAGAUCUACAAAAAAGUCCAUGCGCGCGUAUCUGUCAAAUGUACAGUUAAAGGGUUAUUCCGCAUUUUUUGCCGAUACGCACACAUUGGAAUUUCGCUAACUCCUCCGAAGGCUUUCGUUCCACCGGCACCACAUUUGCUCAGGCCAAUCUACACCCCAUGGCCAUUAAAAGUUAUUCAAAUCAUGAUGCUGCACCCCAUGGUUUAGGUUCUAGGGGGCGCCAAAAAUAACCCAAAAAUCCACAUUCUUAAAUGUUUUAUAACUUUUUAUUUUUGUCCUCACUGGCCUCCAAGUUUUCUAGGAUGAUGCAAUGUCCAGCCAUCAACACAUUUGUGAAGGAAUUUUUACUCCCCAAAAGAGCGCCCCCCAUGGUAGGAGAAAAAAGUCAAUUUUUUCUUGUCCCCUUACAUAAAAAUACACAUUGUUGAGUGUCACGCCUGAACGCUUUGUCAUAUUGACACAAAAAUUGACAAUCAUGUGUAUCUCAAUUAGAUCUACGAAAAAGUCAAAGAGCGCGUAUCUGUAUAAUGUACGGUUAAAGGGCUAUUUUGCAUUUUUUGCCGAUUCGCACACAUUGGAAUGUGGCUAUCUCCUCCUGAGGCUUUCGUCCCACCGAUACCAAAUUUGCUCAGGGCAAUCUACACCCCAUGCCCAUUCAAAGUUGUAAAAAUCAUGACGCUGCACCCCACGGUUUACGUUCUAGGGGGCGCCAAAGAUGACCCAAAAAUCCACAUUCUUAAAAGUCAUUUUGGCCACUGCAGGAGUACAGAGUACUGCAGUUCUAGGGGGCGCCAAAGAUGACCCAAAAAUCCACAUUCUUAAAAGUCUUUUUGGCCACUGCAGGAGUACAGAGUACUGCAGGAUACACACACAUAUACACACACGCCAACAUACACACACACACACACACACACACACACACACACACACACACACACACACACAGACACACACACACACUCAGAGUCUGUUUUUUAGCACUUGCAAAAACAUGCUGUUUACAUAUUUGACAAGAAUGCAGAGGCUUCCUUUUGCCCCUGAAAAAAAUCAAAUUUCAAACACAACUUGACUGUUAAUUUCUCCAAAAGACAACCAUGAAGCUCCAUUUCAAACCUGAAGCAGAUAGUUGGUGCAUGUGUACAGUAACCUGAGGGGAGUGAGGUGACUAUUUCUGAGGAGAACAUGAGCAGUGAAGAUUCACCUUGGAGCUAGAACAGGGACGUGCACAUGAUUAUACAGGGGCAGGGGCUCAAGUUUUUUCCAGUCAUUUAUACAAUAUGGAAAUUAAUGUGAAAUUAAACCACAAAUAUGUGUGAUGAACUGUUUUUAAAACUUAAACUUCAAAUAAAAAUUGUAAACUUCAAAACAUAUGCAAAUUUUUAACAAAGAACAUAGUAAUUUACCUCUAUUUACAUCAAAAUGCAGGCAAUGGCCCAGGCGUUCUUUGUAAAAUUAUUUACAAAACACUGUAUAGUCUCACAAAUGUCACUUUUUAUUUAUGCCACUACAAAAAAACAUGAUGUAAAUGAUGCAUGAUGUAAAACAUGAUGUAAAAAACUUGUGUAGAUCCUCCUCUAUGUCAGUCCAUGUGUAAUUUUUCCAUAAUUCUUUGUUUUUUGCAGCAUUUUUGUUAGUGUAACUGCAGAUUUUGCUGACAGUGUCUAUGGCACAAAAAAAAAAAAAAAUUAAAAUGCCUCAACAUGAACCCCUGGUGGUCUCUGAGGGUGAAACCUGCUAACUGCUGCAGCUCUGUCAGCUUCAGUCUCCCAUGCAGAGCUCUGAGCGCAUGUGUGGCUCUGCACCCUUAGCAGCGUUGCUAACUCCUCAGUAAGGAAAGCCUGCUUCAUGUCAGAGUCUCUAAACUCCAGAAGAAGUCGAUAAAAGUCCCUUUCUUUCUAAAAAAGUCGUUAGGGUGUCUGAAAAGUCAUUGAAUCUAACAACAAAGUCGCUAGGUUUGCAACUACGUGUCCCAGACUGCAUCCCUGCUGAGAGUCCCUCCCUCCCUUCUCAUGUUGCAGGAAGAACGUAAGCGCCCGCCCCUUGUCAAUCAGUCACCAUAUAAUUUUGGAUUGGUUGUUGUGGUGAAGUUUUCCACCAAUAGGAGAGAUGUUGUGGUGUGUUUUUUUUUUCUUUUGGCAAGCCUUUUCCGCCUGUAAGACCUGUCGCUAAUGUCUGCAUGCUAUGUUUUCCUGUCUCAUACAGCGCGAUCGAGCGCCGAACGUGAUCAAAAUAAGCAGAAAAAAAGUAUCGCGGACAUAAUUUAUCAUAACUCUGGUUUUAUUUGGCCUAUCAACACAAUUUAAAAACUGGUAUAUAGGUUGAGGUCCUCACUUUUGAGAUAAGUUGAAACGGAGAGUCAACGAGGCUCCGUCUUGCAGCUACAUCAGGUUAAAUAUGUCAUGUGACUUGAACGCACACAUAGACACACACACACGCACACACACACACACACACACACACACACACACACACACUCAGAGUCUGGUUUUUAGCACCUGCAAAAACAUGCUAUUUACAUAUUUGACAAGAAUGCAGAGGCUCCUUUUGCCCCUGAAAAAAAUCAAAUUUCAAACACAACUUGACUGGUCAUUUCUCCAAAAGACAACCAUGAAGCUCCAUCCAAACCUGAAGCAGGCAGUUGGUGCAUGUGUACAGUAACCUGAGGGGAGUGAGGUGAGUGCUUCUGAGGAGAACAUGAGCAGUGAAGAUUCACCUUGGAGCUAGAACAGAGACAUGCACAUGAUUAUACAGGGGCAGGGGCUCAAGUUUUUUCCAGUCGUUUAUACAAUAUGGAAAUUAAUGUGAAAUUAAAACACAAAGUAUUAAUAGAAAGGUAAUGACUGUCCUGUGUAGGUGACAGUGAUAUCCAAUAGGCUAGGCACUCACGAGGCUGGCUGUGGCAAGUGUAAGUGAAAGCAACACGCACUGGCAGGAAGAACAGCAAACGCCGAUGAAGGAAAAGGGUCUUUGCAGUGAUGGGCGUUACCAGAGAGGGCGAUGGCCAGAGGACACAAAUGGGACGGGGAGGCAGCACGUUGGGGGGGGGGGACGCGACACGGCUCGGGCCCGCCAGUGCCCCAACGGGGUCCUAGUGUUAUUAUUAUUAUUAUUAUUUUUCCUCCCCUUUGAACUGGAAAAUGGCCCACUUCCCACUGGCGAAAACUCAUGAAAUUUGGCAGGACGACCGGGCCUGGUGAAAAAUUUGAUAUUCCGAAGUCGCCCAAACAAGAAAAUGCAAAAUGGCUCCAUAGCGCCCCCUAAGGUGAAAAUUCACACUAUUCACUGUCACGCCUGUACGCUUUGUCAAAAUGAUACAAAAAUUGACACACACAUGUAUCUCAAUAAGAUCUACAAAAAAGUCAGUGCGGGCGUAUCUGUCAAAUGUACGGUUAAAGGGUUAUUUCGCAUUUUUUGCCGAUCCGCACACAUUGGAAUUUCGCUAACUCCUCCGAAGGCUUUCGUUCCACCGGCACCACAUUUGCUCAGGCCAAUCUACACCCCAUGGCCAUUAAAAGUUAUUCAAAUCAUGACGCUGCACCCCACGGUUUAGGUUCUAGGGGGCGCCAAAGAUAACCCUAAGAUCCACAUAUUUAAAAGUCUUAUAACUUUUUAUUUUUGCCCUCACUGGCCUCCAAGUUUUCUAGGAUGAUGCAAUGUCCAGCCAUCAACACAUUUGUGAAGGAGUUUUUUCUCUUUAAAAGAGCACCCCCCCAUGGCAGGAGAAUAAAGUCAAGUUUUUCCUGUUCAUCAUUCAAUGGCUCAAACGCACUGCUCUCUCGGCAAAAGCGAAAGGAGGAACAACUUGCCAUUUGGAUAUAUCUUAGCUGUGUUUGUGCCCUCACUCAUGGUCCAGACUUUUUUCAAAUAGGACAUGGAGUUUUUCUGCAGCGAGCGUUUUGGUAGAAACUGCGCCUCCCGUUCAUUAUAAUGGUAAAUGACCACAAACAAGUGCGCACACCAUCUUUGGACCUUGAGUGUGACGCGAUCGGGUGGGGGAGGCGGUCGCGCUGGGGGCGGCGUGACACGGCUCGGGCCCGCCAGUGCCCCAACGGGGCCCUAGUUAGGGCCCGAGCGUAGCUGCUAAGCAGCUGCGAGAGCCCUCUUGUUCCUGAUGGAUUCUUCUUUUGUUAUUAUUAUUAUUAUUUUUCCUCCGCUUUAAACUGGAAAAUGGCCCACUUCCCACUGGCGAAAACUCAGGAAAUUUGGCAGGACGACCGGGCCUGGUGAAAAAUUCGAUAUUCUGAAGUCGCCCAAACAAUAAAAUGCAAAAUGGCUCCAUAGCGCCCCCUAAGGUGAAAAUUCACACUAUUGACUGUCACGCCUGUACGCUUUGUCAUAUUGACACAAAAAUUGACACACACAUGUAUCUCAAUAAGAUCUACAAAAAAGUCAGUGCGGGC